rnacentral:rRNA from 1 species
AGAAUCAACGCUGGCGGCGUGCCUAACACAUGCAAGUCGCACGAGAAAGGGUAGCAAUACCUGAGUACAGUGGCGCACGGGUGAGUAACACGUGAAUGAUCUACCUCCGAGUGGGGAAUAACUGAGAGAAAUCUUAGCUAAUACCGCAUAAUACCCACGGGUCAAAGCAGCAAUGCGCUUGGAGAGGAGUUCGCGGCCGAUUAGUUAGUUGGCGGGGUAAUGGCCCACCAAGCGAUGAUCGGUA